AUUCUUCUCUUUUCCUCCUCAACGCCGAAGCUUCUUCCUUCCCCUGACCCUUCUUCUUCUCCUCUCUUCUCAUCGCCACCCAACGACGCCAAUUUCCUCUUUUCCUCUUCUCUUCCAUCUUUGCACGUGCCCGUAUCCGUGCCCUAGCCAUUAUCUUGGCCGCAUUUUCUCCUCCUCUUCUCGCGUCGCUCUCGGUCGCCACCGCUGACAGCGGUUGCCAGCCAUCGGUAACCACCCGAUCGCCAUCGCCAGUCGAGUGUCACUCGACUUUCCCCUCUCCUGGUCGCGGACACCAGGAGCUCACCGAAAGAUCAAGCAUCUAAGCCGUGCCCUAGAUUUGGUCUCUCGCCGCCGCAUCUCUGCGCUGGUUGGUUUCCGACUGAGAGCAAGGUUUCAAGCACUACCUCUUGUUGGUGGACGCUGGUGCCGUUGAGCCUUAGCCUCGUAAUUCUUCUAAUCUCGUCUUCUCCUCACCACUACUGCCAGCAGCUAGCCGCUGAUAGCCGGUCCCGAUCAAUGUCGCACUAAACCACCGGAGAGGGAGUAGGUCAGCGAUUGAUUUGGGCCGCUCUACCUAGCUCUGACCACUAAUUUCUGACAGCAAGCUUCUCUGGUCACGGGUCAACGGCUGUGCGAUUGGAUUUGGGACUUUGAUUCGAGACGAGCGUCUCGACAUGGGAUUGGUUUGACAUGAU